CCUACGGGAGGCAGCAGUAGGGGAUAUUGCACAAUGGGGGAAACCCUGAUGCAGCGACGCCGCGUGAGUGAAGAAGUAUUUCGGUAUGUAAAGCUCUAUCAGCAGGGAAGAUAAUGACAGUAUCUGACGAAGAAGCCCCGGCUAACUACGUGCCAGCAGCCGCGGUAAUACGUAGGGGGCAAGCGUUACCCGGAUUCACUGGGUGUAAAGGGAGCGUAGACGGGAAUGCAAGUCUGAUGUGAAAUCCCAGGGCCCAACCCUGGGACUGCAUUUGAAACUGUGUAACUAGAGUACGGGAGGGGUAGGCGGAAUUCCUGGUGUAGGGGUAAAAUGCGUAGAGAUCAGGAGGAAUACUCACGGCGAAGGCGACCUGCUAGA
rnacentral:rRNA from 1 species